rnacentral:rRNA from 1 species
UACGGAGGGUGCAAGCGUUAUCCGGAUUCACUGGGUUUAAAGGGUGCGUAGGCGGGUAAUUAAGUCCGUGGUGAAAUCUCUGAGCUUAACUCAGAAACUGCCGUGGAUACUAUUUGCCUUGAAUAUUGUGGAGGUGAGCGGAAUAUGUCAUGUAGCGGUGAAAUGCUUAGAUAUGACAUAGAACACCAAUUGCGAAGGCAGCUCACUACACAAUCAUUGACGCUGAGGCGCGAAAGCGUGGGGAUCAAACAGG